CUAUCUCUGCCUUUCCAUCCUGUACAGAUCCUUCUCUCCCUCCUUAGUGUCCGACCUCACAUAUAAACCAUCAUACACCCUGUGCUUGGCCUUUGCCACCUCUGCCAUCAUCUGACGCUGUGUCUCCCUGUACUCCUGUCUUCUCUCUUCAGUCUUCCCCGUCCCACUUCUUCGUUGCUAACCUCUUUCUCUGUCUGCACUCUUGCCCUUCCUCGUUCCACCACCAAGUGUCCUUAUUUAGUUUCCUUCCAGAUGACACACCAAGUACUCUCCUACCUGUCUCCCUGACCACUUCAGCUGUCAGUUGUA